UCGUGAUAGCCGAGGUAGAUAAGCGUUACCUCAUAAUCUACAGCUUUGUAGAGGUGAACCCGAUUGGAGAAAAGAGUCCCGCACGGCGAAGUGCCGGUGAACCGUGUCAGAUCUGGAAGGAAGCAGCACUAAGCCUGUUACUUCGGGUGUUGCGGAUCGGCUCUUUUCGAAGGUCGUUUCACGA
rnacentral:SRP_RNA from 1 species